CUCCGCGACCCGACCCGCGCUCCUUGGCUGACCCGAUACCCGCACGGCGAACCGAAUCCAGUUGACGACCCGCGGUCCACCCGAAUCACCGCUUCCGACCCGAACCCGCGACCCGCGACUGCAGGAAUUUCUGGGCGCGUGACACUCGCGCGUGGAACCCGCGAGUGGCUGCUCCCCAGCGCGUGACUGGCGCGUGGAGGCGCGUGACCUUAUUGAGGAAAAAUCACCCCCUCUCGUUACGCCAAGUGUGUGGAAACGCUGCGUAAGGGCACGUAGCAUCCAAGUACGUGAGGCGUCGAGUCAAGAGAGGGCGCGUCGAUCGAUGUGGGUUGUCACAGAGGAAGCGUGUCCCGGGGCGUCAGUCUAGUUUACUAAAUAGUACACUUUGUCUCACAUGUUCCUUUCCUUGUUUUUCUUUUACCUAGGCACUUAUGUCCUUCUAAUAAAGAUAUGUUUUUCUUUUGAAACAAAUGAUUUCCUUGAAUUUCUCGUUUAUGCAUUACAUGUCAUACAAUGUUA